rnacentral:rRNA from 1 species
CGCAAUGCCCGAAAGGGUGACGAAGCGACGCCGCGUGUGGGAAGAAGGCCUUCGGGUUGUAAACCCCUGUCGGGAGUUAAGAAAUGUAAGGAUGUUAAUAGUAUUCUUACUUGACUAAGGCUCCGGAGGAAGCCACGGCUAACUCUGUGCCACCAGCCGCGGUAAUACAGAGGCGGCUAGCGUUGUUCGGAAUUAUUGGGCGUAAAGAGCAUGUAGGCGGCUAUGUAAGUCGGUUGUGAAAGCCUUCCGCUUAACGGAAGAAUGGCGGUCGAAACUGCAUGGCUUGAGUGCGGGAGGGGAGAGUGGAACUUCUGGUGGAGCGGUGAAAUGCGUACAUAUCAGAAGGAACGCCGGCGGCGAAAGCGACUCUCUGGACCGUAACUGACGCUGAGUGUGCGAAAGCUAGGGGAGCAAACGGGAUUAAAUACCCCGGUAGUCCUAGCCGUAAACGAUGGGCACUAAGUAGAGGGGUUUU